rnacentral:rRNA from 1 species
UUCCCGUAGGUGAACCUGCGGAAGGAUCAUUG